UACAGAGGGUGCGAGCGUUAAUCGGAAUUACUGGGCGUAAAGCGCACGUAGGCGGCUUGGUAUGUCGGGGUGUGAAAUCCCCGGGCUCAACCUGGGAACUGCAUCCGAAACUGCCUUGCUCGAGUAUGGGAGAGGGAAGUGGAAUUUCCGGUGUAGCGGUGAAAUGCGUAGAUAUUGGGAGGAACACCAGUGGCGAAGGCGGCUCACUGGACCGGAACUGACGCUGAGGCGCGAAAGCGUGGGGAGCAAACAGG
rnacentral:rRNA from 1 species